AACGAACGCUGGCGGCAGGCCUAACACAUGCAAGUCGAACGCUCCGCAAGGGGAGUGGCAGACGGGUGAGUAACACGUGGGAAUCUUCCUGUUGGUACGGAAUAGCUCAGGGAAACUUGGGGUAAUACCGUAUAAGCCCGAGAGGGGAAAGAUUUAUCGCCGACAGAUGAGCCCGCGUCUGAUUAGCUAGUUGGUGAGGUAAUGGCUCACCAAGGCGACGAUCAGUAGCUGGUCCGAGGGGAUGACCAGCCACACUGGGACUGAGACACGGCCCAGACUCCUACGGGAGGCAGCAGUGGGGAAUAUUGGACAAUGGGCGCAAGCCUGAUCCAGCCAUGCCGCGUGAGUGACGAAGGUCUUCGGAUUGUAAAGCUCUUUUACCAGGGACGAUAAUGACGGUACCUGGAGAAUAAGCCCCGGCUAACUUCGUGCCAGCCGCCGCCGUAAGAC
rnacentral:rRNA from 1 species